AAAGGCAUCGUGUGGACACACCUUAAUAUAGAUACCAAAAUGUUAUCUGUACUGAGAUACAAUUAUAUGUAGUUAGCAUUCUCUUCAUUCUGGGGGAAGUUCCGCUCAUAAAUAGAUGAAAUUAUCAAUAACUGCGACACGAACUGCAAAGUAACAAUUUGUUCGUCGUCGUUGCCAUGGUAACGCGUAACGUCAAUAUAGAUAGAGUGACAUACAGUAUUGGGUGUUUUUAUUAUGUUGUGUGAGAUCGUUGAAUUCUUACGAGAACACCUGUGCGUGAUACUGAUGAAAGUGAUGCGGAUGAAACAUGAAUAUAAUUUGGUAACAUUUUAUCUCAGAUCUAAACCGAAAAUCGUUUUAUAAGGUAAGAUACUUUAACUCGAAAUGACAGACAACGAAAACCCGAAUGUAUUUUUCAGCCGUAUUAAGGAGGACAAAUACCUGCUUGUGUGUUUCCAGUUCCAGAGUGAGUCACGUAAGAUAGACGAUUAUUGCAGUGUUGUUGCAAAAUUGACUGCAACCGCCGAUUAUUUGUUGAAUAAAAUUGUCAUUUGUAUCACCAACAAAGUAAAGGAGUUAAAAGACGCAGGAGGCGCACUAGGAGAUGUAGACGUUGAAUCCAUAUCUGCUAAAUUCUAUAGUAACGAUUGUCCAGUAUCCGCUGAUUGUUUAUGUAUGGACUUGCCGUUUUGGGUGGGCGACGAAAUGCAUUUGCGUAUUGGCAGUGUUCGAUAUAAUAUCGUGUUGAAUGGCCCAUGCGUAGAUGAAAUAAUCCUUCCAAGAGUCAUAAUAGUUGGUUUUCCGAUUUCCCCAUUUACUUUUAAGACUUCAUAUACGAAUGUGGGAGAUUGCGAGUUUCUGUGGUACAGGAAAAAACAGGGUGACUUCGAAUUAAUAGGAAAUGGUUAUUCCUAUACACCUACGACCGAAGAUGUUGGUUGUAUACUGAAGCUCAUCUGUAUUCCUGGAAACGGCGAUGUGAAAGGACCAAAGGUGGAAACAGUGUCGAAGAAAUGUGUGAAAGAAGGUCCAAAAAAGUUUCCAUUCGAAGACCGUCAUAUAUUCACACAAACAGGAGCAGCUCCUGGAAGUUUCAGAAUAAUGACCUAUAACAUACUGGCUGACUUCUGUGCUGGUACACCUAAGCUUCGUAAAGAACGAUUUCCAUAUUGUCCUCCUCAUGCUCUGAACAUAAACUACAGGAAACAGUUAUUACAAAAGGAAAUUAUAGGUUACAAUGUUGACAUCAUGUGUCUGCAGGAAGUUGACAAAAGUGUGUAUCAAGAUCAUUUGCUUCCGCUUCUUUCAACCAGAUACAAUGGAACUUUCAAAGUUAAAGGAACCAAGAUAACAGAAGGCUUGGCAUGUUUUUAUGACAAAUCUAAAUUUCGGUUGAAGGAGCAGCAUGGAAUUACACUUGCUCAUGAAUUACAAAUUAAUCCACGGUUACGUAACUUGUGGACUCUCAUGAAACCAGAAGUUGAAAAAAUACCUCGUUUUUUGAAAGCAGCAACUUCGUUACAGAUAGCUGUGUUGGUAUCUCUUGAAGAGGAGGAUAAUUGUGUGAUAAUUGCUAACACACAUUUACGCUCCUGGCCGGAACCUGAUUAUUUUCGUGCUCUGCAAGCUUCUGUUGCUCUUGCAUAUCUCCAGUCUGUUGUGGGAGAUAUUUCAAAGAAGAUGCCAGAAAAGAAAAUUGCUACAAUUUUGUGUGGUGAUUUCAACAGCACACCUGACAGCUGUGUGUAUGAACUGAUGGUUAACCAGUCUAUAGCGGAAAAUCAUCCUUGCUGGUCAGAAGAAGAAAAUAAAGACAUAAAAGGCAUAAAUUUAUCACACAAUUUCAAUUUUGGAAGUGCUUAUGGGACUCCAGACUUCACAAAUUAUACCCAUGACUUCAUUGGUUGUUUAGAUUAUAUAUUUCACCAGAAAGAUGCUUUACAGAUUUUGCAGUCCUCUUUGUUUGUAGAUUGUGCCUUUACCUCAUGAAGAAGAAGUCAAGGAACAUGAAGCAAUACCAAGUGUAGUUUUUCCAUCUGAUCAUUUAGCAUUAAUAGCUGAUAUCUGCUGGAUUUGAAAUGUUCUUUAUCAUGUUUACACUGAUGGUAGUUCCACCUUCAGAAUUUGGAUCCAAAGACUGAUCAACAACAAUAAAGCUCACUUGUUGUACCUGUAUCAACAAAACCAAAGGAACACUCGGUAUUAAGACAAUUUUUGCAAUUUAAAAAAUAAUAAUCAUAUGUUGUUCUUACUAUGUAUUUUUGUUGCAAAUGGAAAUUUAUUUUAUUUUAUAUUAUUUUUAAGAUAUAAUGUGUAGUGCUUUCCUUGUACUAGAGAAUCAUAUUAACAGGCAGGUACCAAAUGCCUGGCUGGUAUGAUACUGAGGUAGAUGAAUGUUAGAUUAGAAAGGUUGUUCACAUUGUUUUGAUAAAGAAAAGUAUCUGCCAUAAAUACUAGCAUUCCCUAAAGAUACGCAACAGACACAAACAUGAACAAAAUGUGAAACAAACAGAAGUUUCAUCUGACAAAGAAUUGGAGAGAACAGUUCUGUUCAAGAGGAUGAAAAGUAACCCAGUAUAAGAGAGAAAUUUAUCCUUAAUUUACGAUUUUGGGUAUUACUAACAUUUAAUAUUUGAUAUUUCCUUUGUCGUGGAAAGGUUCACACUCACUGUAAAGAUAGUGAUUUUAUACCAUUGUCUUUCCUGCUGGAUGCAGAAAUAUUUGCAAAAACUAACAAUUUAAUCACAUUUCGGUCAUUUGUGUCUGCUGUACACCAGGUUUUUAAAACCUUUACUACAUUGUUCAGAUGGCAUGUAAUUUUUAAACUGAGUAAUAAUUGGACUGUUUUAGUUCUGUUUACUUUUUUAUCGGCUCCAUUUUUAUCUCAUAACAACUUUAAAAUUGUGUAUUUGUCUAAAUGUUUUUAUGACUGUAUAUUACAUAAAAUACUUUGAAAUUACAUUCAUACAUACAACUGGCACUCUACAAUUCCCAGUGUAAAACCAUGGUGUCUAAAGUCAGACCAAACAAGCUGUAUUUUAAAUAAAUUUUAUUUCAUUCAGUA